rnacentral:rRNA from 1 species
UUCGGCAAUGGACGAAAGUCUGACCGAGCAACGCCGCGUGAGUGAAGAAGGUUUUCGGAUCGUAAGGCUCUGUUGUAAGUCAAGAACGUGUGUGAGAGUGGAAAGUUCACACAGUGACGGUAGCUUACCAGAAAGGGACGGCUAACUACGUGCCAGCAGCCGCGGUAAUACGUAGGUCCCGAGCGUUGUCCGGAUUUAUUGGGCGUAAAGGGAGCGCAGGCGGUCAGGAAAGUCUGGAGUAAAAGGCUAUGGCUCAACCAUAGUGUGCUCUGGAAACUGUCUGACUUGAGUGCAGAAGGGGAGAGUGGAAUUCCAUGUGUAGCGGUGAAAUGCGUAGAUAUAUGGAGGAACACCAGUGGCGAAAGCGGCUCUCUGGUCUGUCACUGACGCUGAGGCUCGAAAGCGUGGGUAGCGAACAGGAUUAGAUACCCUGGUAGUCCACGCCGUAAACGAUGAGUGCUAGGUGUUAGGCCCUUUCCGGGGCUUAGUGCCGGAGCUAACGCCAUAAGCACUCCGCCUGGGGAGUACGACCGCAGGUUGAAACUCAAAGGAAUUGACGGGGGCCCGCACAAGCGGUGGAGCAUGUGGUUUAAUUCGAAGCA